rnacentral:rRNA from 1 species
GCAAAACGCGAAGAACCUUACCUGGCCUUGACAUGCCACUAACGAAGCAGAGAUGCAUUAGGUGCUCGAAAGAGAAAGUGGACACAGGUGCUGCAUGGCUGUCGUCAGCUCGUGUCGUGAGAUGUUGGGUUAAGUCCCGCAACGAGCGCAACCCUUGCCAAUAAUUGCCAUCAUUCAGUUGGGCACUUUAUUGGGACUGCCGGUGACAAACCGGAGGAAGGUGGGGAUGACGUCAAGUCCUCAUGGCCCUUAUGGCCAGGGCUUCACACGUAAUACAAUGGUCGGUACAGAGGGUAGCCAACCCGCGAGGGGGAGCCAAUCUCAGAAAGCCGAUCGUAGUCCGGAUUGUAGUCUGCAACUCGACUACAUGAAGUCGGAAUCGCUAGUAAUCGCGGAUCAGCAUGUCGCGGUGAAUACGUUCCCGGGUCUUGUACACACCG